rnacentral:rRNA from 1 species
GAUGAACGCUGGCGGCGUGCCUAAUACAUGCAAGUCGAGCGAACCACUUCGGUGGUGAGCGGCGAACGGGUGAGUAACACGUAGGUUAUCUGCCCAUCAGACGGGGACAACGAUUGGAAACGAUCGCUAAUACCGGAUAGGACGAAAGUUUAAAGGUGCUUCGGCACCACUGAUGGAUGAGCCUGCGGCGCAUUAGCUAGUUGGUAGGGUAAAGGCCUACCAAGGCGACGAUGCGUAGCCGACCUGAGAGGGUGAACGGCCACACUGGGACUGAGACACGGCCCAGACUCCUACGGGAGGCAGCAGUAGGGAAUCUUCGGCAAUGGGCGAAAGCCUGACCGAGCAACGCCGCGUGAAUGAUGAAGGCCUUCGGGUUGUAAAAUUCUGUUAUAAAGGAAGAAUGACUUUAGUAGGAAAUGGCUAAAGUGUGACGGUACCUUAUGAGAAAGCCACGGCUAACUACGUGCCAGCAGCCGCGGUAA